rnacentral:lncRNA from 1 species
UGAUGAAUAAUGUUAUACCAAAUUUGAUAAAGCACUAUUCACACUAUACCAAAUUUGGUGGAAUGAUGUCAAAUUUGGUAUUUUGUUAGAGAUAAAAUUAUAUUAAAUUUAGUGUUUUGGUGUUUUGCUGGUGGCCUUGUAGUAAUGAUAACAACCGACGUACAUGUUUUGGAUUGCAGUUUUUUUUUUUUUGUUAUUUUUAUAGUCUAUCUGGUAUUCUCAUCCUUGUUUUAGAUAGAUGUUAAGGGGGCAAAAGACUCUUGAAAACGAUGAUGAGACUGAUUGAUUUUACGGAAAAGAAAUCGAGAGAAUAAAACGAGCACAAGUACUCACGUCGAAUAAACUAUUUGACGUAAGUUAUACAUAACGAGCGAAAGAGAGAUCCACGUCCUGCGGUGACGGACAACACACCGCACGAUUUGUCAGUGAUUGGUCGCUUAUUUGCUAGUGAUUAUUUGGGAGACUGCAUAAAUAGAUUAGAUAUACGUCAUACAUCAUUGACUCUGAUGUUUUUCAGACAUAAAAUAAAACCAGCGCAUUUGAUUAC